CCUCCCUAAAAACAGGAAGCAAGCAGACAGCCCUGCAUGAACAGGCACAGAUGUCCGUAGGCAGACCCGAGUCACAGACAGGUCCGGUUUCAUCCCGAUAAGCUGUGAGCCGAGGAGGAUAACCCCCUUUGAUGAGAGUUUAUGUUUGAUGAGCCUCUGCCUGAUCAACUGUCAGAGAAAUAAAGAGAGAGAGAGAGAGACGAUCGGGAUGGCGAGCCCUGCCCAGCGAUUCUAAGAGAGAGAGGGAGAGAGAGAGUUGGAGAUGAGGUGUGGCCAGCCGCAGAACCUACCUUGAAGACUCCAGAUCAUCUGAAUCACGCAUUCUCCCAGGUGUCUGCCGCCAAGACUUGUUGGCGGGUCAUGUUGGUGAAGACGACCGGGCGGUGACCUGUAAGGAUGCUGAGGUAUCCCAUGGCAUACCCCAUGAGCUCGCAGUGUUGUUUGCCAAAUGUGCCAUCCCCAGGGCUAUGUGCCACGACCGUACCACGGCGGAAAAGUUCUACAUGGCGCUACUGGACAAAGACAUGGCAUACCAGACCUGAAAACUCUGCAUCAAGGCCCUUGACCAAAUCCUCCAAGGACACCGAUGUCACAGACGACUCAUCGUUACCGGCCGAACAUUCGGAGGAUACCCCACAGUCAAGCUCCGAUGACGAGGGACCUGUCCUCCAGGAUGAGUCUGACUCCUCCUCUUCCUUUUCCUCUGAGGAGAUGCUUGUCAUGGCCCUAUUCACCCUUUCCUUGUGAUUGAUUAAACACAGUUUUAUUCAGGGAUAAACCCCAUGUAAGGAUAAUAUUAACUGAUGCAUUAAAACUAUUAAGUUAACUUUUGGGGAAAGGGCCCCUCAAUGAUAGGAGCCUCAUUAUGUCAGUUAUCAUUUCAGUUGGCAUUGUGCAGUGGUGCACAUUCCCAAUCGAAUUUAAAGUAAUUAGAGUCAUAACAAAGUAAUUGCCGAGCUGUGAACCUGGAUCCACUAGGGCCCCUGAGGACCCAACUAACUGCAGAUGUUUCGUAAAUAAAGAAAAGGGAAGAGAGAGAGGAGAAUCUUGUAUGGUUCCUCCAUAUACAUCUACAAACUCCACCAUAACUCCAA